UACGGAGGGUGCAAGCGUUAGUCGGAUUUACUGGGCGUAAAGGGUGCGUAGGCUGGGCUAUAAGUCAGAUGUGAAAAACCAAAGCUCAACUUUGGCAGUGCAUCUGAAACUGUAGUUCUAGAGGGAUAGCGGAGAAAACGGAAUUCCACGUGUAGCGGUGAAAUGCGUAGAUAUGUGGAAGAACACCUGUGGCGAAAGCGGUUUUCUAGCUUUAACCUGACGCUGAGGCACGAAAGCAAGUGGAGCAAACAGG
rnacentral:rRNA from 1 species